UACGGGGGGAGCAAGCGUUGUUCGGAUUUACUGGGCGUAAAGGGUGCGUAGGCGGUCAGCACAAGUCAGUUGUGAAAUCUCCGAGCUUAACUCGGAAAGGUCAACUGAUACUGUGCGGCUAGAGUGCGGAAGGGGCAACUGGAAUUCUUGGUGUAGCGGUGAAAUGCGUAGAUAUCAAGAGGAACACCUGCGGCGAAGGCGGGUUGCUGGGCCGACACUGACGCUGAUGCGCGAAAGCUAGGGGAGCAAACGGG
rnacentral:rRNA from 1 species